GGGUGGGUAGGCUCAGUGUAUAGAGGUUGGGGCUUAUGACCGCGAGGUCCCGGGUUCGAAUCUCGCUAGAGGCA
rnacentral:tRNA from 1 species